AAGGAUCAUUAGAGAUGCCGAAAGGCUUUCCAAACACCUGUGCACCGGGCUUCGGCCCAAAAACAACACAAACAAAUGUCAUGAACGUGAUCUAUUAUAAUCAGAAACAACUUUCAACAACGGAUCUCUUGGCUCUCGCAUCGAUGAAGAACGCAGCGAAAUGCGAUAAGUAAUGUGAAUUGCAGAAUUCAGUGAAUCAUCGAAUCUUUGAACGCACCUUGCGCCUUUUGGUAUUCCGAAAGGCAUGCCUGUUUGAGUGUCAUGUAGACUCAACCCCCCGGGUUUUCCCGGUGGCGUUGGAACUGGGCCCUGCCUCUUCUGGCUGGCCUUAAAUGAGUUAGUGGUAUCCACAGACGUUGUAAGCACUCGUCGACCGGAGGCCGCUCACAACCCCCCACUAUUUUGACUCUGACCUCAAAUCAGGUAGGACUACCCGCUGAACUUAAGCAUAUCAAUAAGCGGAGGAAAAGAAACUAACAAGGAUUCCCCUAGUAACGGCGAGCGAACCGGGAAGAGCUCAAAUUUGAAAUCUGGCGUCCUCAGGGCGUCCGAGUUGUAAUCUACAGAAGCGUUUUCCGUGCCGGACCGCGUCCAAGUCCCUUGGAACAGGGUAUCAAAGAGGGUGACAAUCCCGUACUUGACACGACCACCGGUGCCAUGUGAUACGUCUUCAACGAGUCGAGUUGUUUGGGAAUGCAGCUCAAAACGGGUGGUAAAUUCCAUCUAAGGCUAAAUAUUGGCGUGAGACCGAUAGCGAACAAGUACCGUGAGGGAAAGAUGAAAAGCACUUUGGAAAGAGAGUUAAACAGUACGUGAAAUUGUUGAAAGGGAAACGAUUGAAGUCAGUCGUGUCCGAGGGGUUCAGCCGGUUCUGCCGGUGUAUUCCUCUCGGACGGGUCAACAUCGGUUUUGGCCGGCGGAAAAGGGCACGGGGAAAGUGGCACCUCCGGGUGUGUUAUAGCCCCGCGUCGCAUACGUCGGCCGAGACCGAGGAACGCAGCUCGCCUUUAUGGCCGGGGUUCGCCCACGUACGAGCUUAGGAUGUUGACAAAAUGGCUUUAAACGACC
rnacentral:rRNA from 1 species